UGGCUCAGUUGGUAGAGCAUGGCACUUAGAACACCAGGGUUGUGGGUUUAAUUCCCAC
rnacentral:tRNA from 1 species